rnacentral:rRNA from 1 species
UUGCUUCUCUUGAGAGCGGCGGACGGGUGAGUAAUGCCUAGGAAUCUGCCUGGUAGUGGGGGAUAACGUUCGGAAACGGACGCUAAUACCGCAUACGUCCUACGGGAGAAAGCAGGGGACCUUCGGGCCUUGCGCUAUCAGAUGAGCCUAGGUCGGAUUAGCUAGUUGGUGGGGUAAUGGCUCACCAAGGCGACGAUCCGUAACUGGUCUGAGAGGGUGAUCAGUCACACUGGAACUGAGACACGGUCCAGACUCCUACGGGAGGCAGCAGUGGGGAAUAUUGGACAAUGGGCGAAAGCCUGACCCAGCCAUGCCGCGUGUGUGAAGAAGGUCUUCGGAUUGUAAAGCACUUUAAGUUGGGAGGAAGGGUUGUAGAUUAAUACUCUGCAAUUUUGACGUUACCGACAGAAUAAGCACCGGCUAACUCUGUGCCAGCAGCCGCGGUAAUACAGAGGGUGCAAGCGUUAAUCGGAAUUACUGGGCGUAAAGCGCGCGUAGGUGGUUUGUUAAGUUGGAUGUGAAAUCCCCGGGCUCAACCUGGGAACUGCAUUCAAAACUGACUGACUAGAGUAUGGUAGAGGGUGGUGGAAUUUCCUGUGUAGCGGUGAAAUGCGUA